CACGUAGGGGGCGAGCGUUGUCCAGAUUUAUUGGGCGUAAAGGGUUCGUAGGUGGUUCAGCAAGUCAACUGUGAAAGUCCGGGGCUCAACCCCGGGAAGCCAGUCGAAACUGCUGUGACUAGGGUCCGGUAGAGGUGAGUGGAAUUCUCGGUGUAGCGGUGAAAUGCGCAGAUAUCGAGAGGAACACCAGUAGCGAAGGCGGCUCACUGGGCCGGUACCGACACUGAGGAGCGAAAGCGUGGGGAGCAAACAGG
rnacentral:rRNA from 1 species